CUGGGAAAUAAGCUGUUAAUGCUUCUAUUGGAGCUUCUUUAAGGAGCUGUGUUGAGUCCAUUACCAAUGGACUCCAGGCUUUCCAAGCGUGUAGUAGAGUCCUUAAGCAGUGAAGCAAUCUUUUUGUAGGGGUUCGGGGAAUUGAGCUUGUCCAUAAGUGGUGGCUUAAAUUUUGUGUGCCUAAGCAUGCGCUUUCGAGUGGGAGCCAGAGUGGGCAUUGAGAGGCUUUGUAGAGACGCAAUAGCCUUAACCCUUGUGCCAGAAAAGAUGCCCUAUAGUAAGCUUUUAUGUCCGGCAGUCUCAGUCCCCCUUUUAUGUAGGUGAGCCAAAGACACCCUUUAGCUAC